CNGGGGCUUAACUUCGGGGUGGCAGGCGAUACGGGCAUAACUAGAGUGCUGUAGGGGAGACUGGAAUUCCUGGUGUAGCGGUGGAAUGCGCAGAUAUCAGGAGGAGCACCGAUGGCGAAGGCAGGUCUCUGGGCAGUAACUGACGCUGAGGAGCGAAAGCAUGGGGAGCGAACAGGAUUAGAUACCCUGGUAGUCCAUGCUGUAAACGGUGGGCGUUAGGUGUGGGGACCGGUUUGGUUUCUGUGCCGUAGCUAACGCAUUAAGCGCCCCGCCUGGGGAGUACGGCCGCAAGGCUAAAACUCAAAGGAAUUGACGGGGGCCCGCACAAGCGGCGGAGCAUGUGGAUUAAUUCGAUGCAACGCGAAGAACCUUACCUGGGUUUGACAUGCACCAGACGGUUGUAGAGAUACGUACCUCCCUUUGUGGUUGGUGUGCAGGUGGUGCAUGGUUGUCGUCAGCUCGUGUCGUGAGAUGUUGGGUUAAGUCCCGCAACGAGCGCAACCCUUGUCUUAUGUUGCCAGCACUUUGGGUGGGGACUCAUGAGAGACUGCCGGGGUUAACUCGGAGGAAGGUGGGGAUGACGUCAAAUCAUCAUGCCCUUUAUGCCCAGGGCUUCACACAUGCUACAAUGGUUAGUACAACGCGCUGCGAACCUGUGAGGGUGAGCGAAUCGCUGAAAGCUAAUCUCAGUUCGGAUUGGGGUCUGCAACUCGACCCCAUGAAGUCGGAGUCGCUAGUAAUCGCAGAUCAGCAAUGCUGCGGUGAAUACGUUCCCGGGCCUUGUACACACCGCCCGUCACGUCAUGAAAGUUGGUAACACCCGAAGCCCAUGGCCUAANC
rnacentral:rRNA from 1 species